GGACAUGAAAGUGGUCUGACUGUGACAUCUGUUGAUCACCGGGAUUAACUUGGCUGAUCUGAUUGGCUAGGCUGGUGUCUCCUCCCCACCUCACUGCUCCACUCAAGCCCCUUCCAAAGCUCCAAGUUAGAUUGGUGGAAGAGGACCAUCAGUCUUAAGCCAAGGGUAUGUAGAGUAGCCACACUCUCCUGCUAGAACCUUCAAAUAAGCUCUCAAGAAGGUCUUCAGGCACGUCUUAUUUGCCUAUAAUUUUGCCUAUAAUUCCAGUACU
rnacentral:snRNA from 1 species